AUCCUUUUGUAGUUCAUAAGUGUGAUGAAUGGGUGUUCACGCUUUUGUGUGAGAUGUGCCUCCCACAAACCUUGUUACGACAUCGGCACAUUACCCGUCUGACG
rnacentral:snoRNA from 1 species